UACGUAGGGUGCAGGCGUUUAAUCGGAAUUACUGGGCGUAAAGCGUGCGCAGGCGGCGCGUUUAAGACAGGUGUGAAAGCCCCCGAGCUUAACUUGGGAAUUGCGCUUGUGACUGGCGUGCUGGAGUGUGGCAGAGGGGGGGUAGAAUUCCACGUGUAGCAGUGAAAUGCGUAGAGAUGUGGAGGAACACCGAUGGCGAAGGCAGCCCCCUGGGUCAAGAUUGACGCUCAUGCACGAAAGCGUGGGGAGCAAACAGG
rnacentral:rRNA from 1 species